CCCUUAGAUGUUCUGGGCUGCACGCGCGCUACACUGAUGCGUUCAACGAGUGUAUCACCUUUUCCGAUAGGAAUGGGUAAUCUUCUGAACACGCAUCGUGAUGGGGAUAGAUUAUUGUAAUUAUUAAUCUUCAACGAGGAAUUCCUAGUAAUGAUGAAUCAUCAGUUCAUCGUGAUUACGUCCCUGCCCUUUGUACACACCGCCCGUCGCUACUACCGAUUGAACGUUUUAGUGAGGUACUCGGACUGAGCCUCAGAAGAUUCACGUCUUUUGUGCUGCUCGGGAAGAUUCCCAAACUUGAGCGUUUAGAGGAAGUAAAAGUCGUAACA
rnacentral:rRNA from 1 species